rnacentral:rRNA from 1 species
UACGUAGGGGCCAAGCGUUGUCCGGAAUCACUGGGCGUAAAGGGCGCGUAGGCGGUCUUAUAAGUCAGAUGUUAAAUCUACGGGCUUAACCCGGAACCGGAUCUGAAACUGGAAGGCUAGAUAAUGGGAGAGGAAAGCGGAACUUCCGGUGUAGCGGUGAAAUGCGUAAAUAUCGGAAGGAACACCAUGGGCGAAGGCGGCUUUCUGGGCCAUUUCUGAGGCUGAGGGGCGAAAGCUAGGGGAAGAAACGGGAUUAAAUACCCCGGUAGUCCUAGGCCUAAACGAUGGUCACUAAGUGUGUAAAGGUAUCGACCCCUUUAGUGCCGCAGCUAACGCGUUAAGUGAACCGCCUGGGAAUUACGAUCGCAAGAUUAAAACUCAAAAGAAUUGACGGGGGCCCGCACAAGCGGUGGAGCAUGUGGUUUAAUUCGAUGCUACGCGAACGACCUUACCUGGGUUUGACAUGCUAGUAGUAGAAGCCUGAAAGGGUAACGAUCUAUCUUUGAUAGAAGCUAGCACAGGUGCCGCAUGGCUGUUCUCAGUUCGUGUCGUGAGAUGUUGGGAUAAGUCGCACAGCGAGCGCACCCCCUAUUGUCAGUUGAUAACUUUAAGUGGAUCAUUCUGGCGAAACUGCCCCGGAUGACGGGGAGGAAGGUGGGGAUGAGGUCAAGUCACCAUGGCCUUUAUGCCCAGGGUCCCACCCGUGCUCCAAUGCCGCGUCCAACUGGAAGCAAAUCCGCAAGGAGGAGCAAAUCCUUAAAAGCGCUGCUCAGUUCGGAUUGCAGGCUGCAACUCGCCCGUAGGAAGCUGGAAUCGUUAGUAUCCGCAGUAUCAGCGUGCUGCGGUGAAUUCGUUCUCGGGCCU